rnacentral:lncRNA from 1 species
AUGAUGAAGAUUGACUGGUCCACCGUUCACUAUCCUGACCAGGGUUCUGAUAACUUCCUCCACAUAGAUGCUGCUUUCACUGGGGGUGUCUCUGUACUCUGGUCCAGGGGUCAGAACCUGUCUGUUCUCUGGUCCAGGGGUCAGAACCUGUCUGUUCUCUGGUCCAGGGGUCAGAACCUGUCUGUUCUCUGGUCCAGGGGUCAGAACCUGUCUGUUCUCUGGUCCAGGGGUCAGAACCUGUCUGUUCUCUGGUCCAGGGGUCAGAACCUGUCUGUUCUCUGGUCCCGGGGUCAGAACCUGUCUGUUCUCUGGUCCCGGGGUCAGAACCUGUCUGUUCUCUGGUCCAGGGGUCAGAACCUGUCUGUUCUCUGGUCCCGGGGUCAGAACCUGUCUGUUCUCUGGUCCCGGGGUCAGAACCUGUCAGGGCCACGUGGGUGUCUGUUCUCUGGUCCAGGGGUCAGAACCUGUCAGGGCCACGGUGGGUGUCUGUUCUCUGGUCCAGGGGUCAGAACCUGUCAGAACCACGGUGGGUGUCUGUUCUCUGGUCCAGGGGUCAGAACCUGUCAGGACCACGGUGGGUGUCUGUUCUCUGGUCCAGGGGUCAGAACCUGUCAGGACCACGGUGGGUGUCUGUUCUCUGGUCCAGGGGUCAGAACCUGUCAGGGCCACGGUGGGUGUCUGUUCUCUGGUCCAGGGGUCAGAACCUGUCAGGACCACGGUGGGUGUCUGUUCUCUGGUCCAGGGGUCAGAACCUGUCAGGGCCACGGUGGGUGUCUGUUCUCUGGUCCAGGGGUCAGAACCUGUCAGGACCACGGUGGGUGUCUGUUCUCUGGUCCAGGGGUCAGAACCUGUCAGGGCCACGGUGGGUGUCUGUUCUCUGGUCCAGGGGUCAGAACCUGUCAGGGCCACGGUGGGUGUCUGUUCUCUGGUCCAGGGGUCAGAACCUGUCAGGGCCACGGUGGGUGUCUGUUCUCUGGUCCAGGGGUCAGAACCUGUCAGGGCCACGGUGGGUGUCUGUUCUCUGGUCCAGUGGUCAGAACCUGUCAGAACCACGGUGGGUGUCUGUUCUCUGGUCCAGGGGUCAGAACCUGUCAGAACCACGGUGGGUGUCUCUGUUCUCUGGUCCAGGGGUCAGAACCUGUCAGGGCCACGGUGGGUGUCUCUGUUCUCUGGUCCAGGGGUCAGAACCUGUCAGAACCACGGUGGGUGCAACACAUCAGACUCCACUAA